GGGCGGCUAGCUCAGAUGGUUAGAGCGCACGCUUCACACGCGUGAGGUCACAGGUUCGAUUCCUGUGCCGCCCA
rnacentral:tRNA from 1 species